GUUCCAAAUGCUUCAGACCCUCUCCACAACCGCUGAGCUAAGUUCCGUUGUUAUAUAUAUAGUUAAGUCCUCAACAUAAAAACUAGUAGCCUGAAGACAAUUUUGUUGCUAUAGUUUUGGAAAAGAACGGGCAGAGCUACAGUGUGUGAAAGGAGGACUUUCAUCACCAAAUAGUGGAUGCUAGCUAGCUUUCAAAGUCCUCUCUCUGCAUUUUUG
rnacentral:misc_RNA from 1 species